rnacentral:rRNA from 1 species
UACGGAGGGGGCUAGCGUUGUUCGGAAUUACUGGGCGUAAAGGGCGCGCAGGCGGCUGCUCAAGUCAGGCGUGAAAGGCCUGGGCUCAACCCGGGAAUUGCGCUUGAGACUGGGCUGGCUUGAGUGCGGGAGAGGAUGGUGGAAUUCCCAGUGUAGAGGUGAAAUUCGUAGAUAUUGGGAAGAACACCGGUGGCGAAGGCGGCCAUCUGGACCGCAACUGACGCUGAGGCGCGAAAGCGUGGGAGCAACAGG